UACGGGGGGGGCAAGCGUUGUUCGGAAUUACUGGGCGUAAAGGGCUCGUAGGCGGCCAACUAAGUCGGAUGUGAAAUCCCCAGGCUCAACUUGGGAACUGCAUCCGAUACUGGAUGGCUUGAAUUCGGGAGAGGGAUGCAGAAUUCCAGGUGUAGCGGUGAAAUGCGUAGAUAUCUGGAGGAAUACCGGUGGCGAAGGCGGCAUCCUGGACCGGUAUUGACGCUGAGGCGCGAAAGCCAGGGGAGCAAACGGGG
rnacentral:rRNA from 1 species